AUUCGCUCGCGGAUGAAGAAUAAUGAUAAUGAUGAUGGCAAGAAUGGACGGCAGGAAACGACCGAGCAGGAAAUGGAAAGGUUCGACGACGUAAACGAGAGAGAGAGAGAGAAGAAAAGAAGGACACCCUCUGCAGAGAAAUGGAAAAUGGCGAAACGGGGAAAAAAUUCGAAGCGCGUACACAUCCGGGAAUUCGUACGGAUAUUUUUCGCCGCGCGUUUAAUCGGAUUGUCUACCGUCGACUGGACUACCCACCGUCGCCAUCCCAAUCCGAAAUUGUCGACACGGGCGUCCGAUCGGAUUUGCCGUCGGAUAACCCGUCCACGGCUCGUGGAACGCGAAUGGAGUAUCAUUGCCAUUAGCCCGUAUCGAGAAGUGGAUUGCCGAUUGAAAAGGAAUCCGUGGAAAAAAAUAAUAGGAAGGGAGGGGAACGCGUAUGGAUCGGGUCGAUAGAGCGUGUGCACAUAGAUGUAUCGAGCCAACAGAGAAAGAGAGAGAAAAGGUAUAAAAUCAGAUAAGUAGAAGGGGGUAAAAGAGAAAAAAAAAAAAAUAAACGAUAUACAUACCGAAAAUAUAAUACAUAAUACAUACACCGUCCACAUCAGGGACAAGCUUAUGUCCGCUAAUAGACGAGAGUGAAGGAGGGAAAAAGAGAGAGAGAUAAUGGCGCAACACUCGAGAGAAUUUUGUUCGAACCGUUAAUAUACACGAGUAAUAUAAUAUGUAAAGGAGAGAUCGCAUGACGACGGGCUUCGGUUCUGUGUGGAUUCGAGCGUGCACAUAGAGAGAUAACGUGCGUGAGAGAGAGAUAAAAAAUGGCGUCGCGCGUACACGCUUCUCGAGUAAACUAGAGUAAAUUAAAUUUAGAUGGUAGAUUACAGAACGAAGAAUAUAUAUAUAUACGGAUAUAUAUACAUAAUGAUGAUAUAUUUUUGACUUUUAUUCUAUACGGUUAAGCGGGCUAAUUACGAAAUACGUAAAUUAAAAUUACCCCUAGGGCAUAGCAGAGGAGGGACAGAGUGGAUCUCUGGUUGAAAGUCUGGCAAAAAGUUUUUUUCGAUCCAUUCGACGACCGUUGAAGUUGAGGAAAGAAGAGGGAACGAGAAUGUUCGGUUUGAAGAAAGAAAAAGAAACGAUUGUUGUUGAAAAGGGAUAAUAGAGGAAAUGAAGUACUUGUGCUCGACAUAAGUGAAUGUUUGUUUACUCGACGGGGGAAUGGAAAACGAUGAAAUCCAUAUUUCUCUGCAGAGCGAAAGGUGUUGUUUCUGUAACGUUAUCGUUUGCACGGAGGAUGGAUGGAUGGAAAGAUCCAGGCGAAUAGAAUGGAAGAGAAGACGAACGAACGGUGUUGAACGCGAUUCACGAAACCGAGGAUGGAAAUAAACCUGGAUUUUUGCAACUUAUACACUUGUAAAAUAUACAUAUUACAAACAAUACAUAGAUGCACACACACUUCGAACAGUCACAUCUCGAGUAUAUAAAAAUAUACAUCGAUGCACGAUUCUUCGUGAGAAUUCAAGUUUCUUUUUUGUUUAGAAUAUCCGUUUAUCCUGCACACACGAAAAGAACUGAACGAUUUUCCUCCCAGAUUGUUUAAAAAAAGAAAAAGAAAAAAUUGAAAAAGAUGAGAUUGCUUGCUAAGAGUUAUCUGUUCGAUUUUUAAUAAUAUAGCAUAGAGAAGAUUGCUGUUCAAACACACAUAUAUACACACAUACAAAAAUAACACACACACACACACUGUUUUCAAACUUGAAAUUUCUAGAUAAACGAGCAACUAGUAGAACGGAAUAAUAAUAGGAAUAGUGAAAAAAAUAAUGAUAAAACGCGCGUUCGACAUUGGUAGAUUCGACGUUUGAACAAAGAGAUAGAAUGGGAGUGGAUGAGAAGAAGAUGAAGAAAAAGAAAAAGAAAAAAAAGUGAAAAAAAAAAAGAGAACACGUAACGACGAAAUAAUUAACUAACUUUUUCUCGAGAACUAAGCUAACGAAUGAUUAAAUAGUAUUUUUCGAGUUUAGAAUUAUAUUAAACGGGAAACGAUUAAAUAAUUAAAUAAAUAAAGUCGUAGUGGUUAAAAACAUCGUAGAUUACACGAUUCUUAGCUGGUAGUGGACGAAGCGAAAAAAAGAAACUUUUACCGGUUCGAACUAAUUGCAUGUUAGUUGUAUUCCAGCCUAAACGCCCUUAGUAAAGCUUCUCAUUAGUGUGUCGAAGUAGAAAUAUGAAAGACUUUUUAAAAUCCGUCGCGGCCGCCCGCCGUUUCUCCUUUACGAACACGGACGAGCAAAACGAUAAACAUAAGAGGGAAUGAAAUUAAUUAGGGAAACGUUACAAAGGAACGUCUAUCCUUUUGAUUGACCGACAAUUCUGUCCAUUUUUUCUAUUGUACAACGAAACACGGGAAAUCCUGCAACCGCAUAUGCACAAUAUCUCCGCCAAGGACAUAUAGACGAAGACGAAGCCUCUUAUGUCCGCUUUCGUUCUUUCUCUCCCUCCUUUUUCCCCCUAUUUUCUUCUUCCCCCCGAAUUCUCUUCUCUCCCCCUCUCUUUGCUUCUUCCUUAACCUCCAAACUCCCCACUCCUCCUCGCCCCCAACCUUCUUUCAAAUACGUCCUUCCAAUUUUCUUUGAAUGAAAACCGCGACGAGAGCGAAGACGAUAUUCGAUCUCGCGCCCAAUUAACCGCUUAGUGUCUAAAUAUAACAAGUAAAAAAAACGUACUCUCUAAAAAUAACGAGCGAGCAAACAAAACGAAAAAAAAAAAUGAAAUAAGUAAAUAAAUAAAUAAAUAAACGCUAAAUAAUUACAUUUACUUAAAGGUAAAAACACGAUUUAGAUGACGUAGACGUAUCUAUUUAAAAGAGGAAUAAACAAAAUGAAAUAAAUCGAAUAAAAGAAAAAAUAAACAAACGAUGGAAAAACGAGGUUAGAAGAAGAAGAACAAAAAAAGAAGAAUGCUUCCUUUAACAUAGUUUCCUCGUCAACAGACCAGAGGGCCAGAGGCACGCACGCGCGCACCGCGAGAAUAGCCAUCUUCCAUCCUUUGCUCUCCGGUGCAGGAUCUUCUAUAGACGAAUAUACAUACAUAUAUAUAUACAUACCUUGUCUUGAACGAGAAAAAGAGAGAAAAAAACAACAAGAGAGAAGAGAUAGGAAAAAAACACACACACAUAAUUGUGCCGUUUUUUCAACAAAUUAAAAAGAUUGCAGAAAGGGACGUCCAUUUGAAGAAUAUUUCGAAAAGCGAUACGAAAAAAAAAAUACGGAUACCCUCUCGUACAUCUGGUCCCCAUCACACCCCACCUUUGCCAGAAACACUCUUAAUCUUCGUUACGACGAAAAGGGAAAAAAAAGAAAAAAAAAAAGGAAAAAAGAAUAUCGUAAUACCCUCGUUCGUCGAAGUGAACGCAGCAAACUAUUAAAGUUCUAACCCCCCGCUUCUUCUGUGCUAGCGACUUAGACAAAGAAGACGUUGAAUAAUUAUCAUUUAAUAAUUAAUCACCCGUGAAUCUUAUUCGAGGGAAAAGAGGAAAAACGAGAAAGAGAAAACUGGUAUUCAAGUUAUUCGCGGAAAUCUUGUAACCUCGAUGUACAUCGAGCCUCGUACAUCGUCCAUUCGAGACGCCGUGUCGAAAGGUGGCUUGGAAUCGCUCGCUCUACUCUUUUGGCGGGAAAUUUGAAAAAUGAUCACGAUGACGCACCUUCGAAAGAAUCCGUGAAAGCGUUUCAAGCGAUUUCAUGUUCGACGCGACCCUUCGUGGAUAUAAGACGGCCAACUCUAGGAUAGAACACGUGUCAUCGCAACAUACAGAUCGUCUAAUCGAUAUUAUAAUCCUGAAAGAAUAGAUGAACGAACGCGCACAACGAUUUAUUCGAAACAAACGUCAAAACGAGUGCUCGUGUUUUCCCUUGCUUCACGUGUGAGCUUCUGCGCCUAUUGCGAAAACGCUUCUCUAGAAGACCCUUUUCUGAUUCGACGUGUAUACAUAGAGGGACACACACAUAUAUAUAUAUAUACACACACACACACAUACAAUAAUACGGUAUUACAUACACACACGUAUAUUAUUACACACGUUUAGACACAGAGAUACGCGAGUUAUUAUAUCGUGGUAGAAAUGUGUUAGUUAGGUGUUCUUGGUCAUUUAUACGUAUACGCAACGCGCACGCCUGAGCUACGCUACAAUUAGAGGGAUGGUCAUUAUUAAUAUAUCGAUAUCUAUAUGUAGUGUUUAAUAUUAAUCGCCCAGAAAUGUUUAAUAUACUAUUAGAGAUAGAUAGCCGCUUAGGAAGUUGCACAGUGUCACUUUUUGCUGAUCGCUAGUUUCGAAUGCCCUCCCCCCCCCGUUCCGCGUCGAGGCCCCACUUUAUCGUUGCUGUCUUAAAAACACGUUCUUACCGAUAUCGAUCCCCCCAAAAUUUUUCGCGCCCUAGAUUACUCGAAACUCGCGUUAGAAAGUUCGAAAUAUCGGCUCGUAGGGAUUUUUUAACACGUUGACUCGAGGUUAUUCGCGAGGUUAUUCGGUGUUUGUGAUGAUUAUUAUCGAAAAUGGUGGCGGGUGAUCUAUAAAGAUGUGUAGAUACUUUUAGCAAAAUUAAUUUUAAUUUAAAUUUUCGUCUCGUAAGAAAUAUCGAAAAUUGUUUUCUCUUACAAGUGUUUCAAUCAUAUUUAAAUCGUGGAUUCUAAACUAGUUUGCGUAAUAAGUAAGUAACGCGAGGGAAAAAUUAGUUUCAUCGUUACAGCGAAGAAAAUGUUAAAAAACAUUUUUGUAUCGUCGAAACAUGGUGGCUUCGGUCUGACUACAGAGUCAACACGUUGAAAAAAAUUAUUAAUACGAUCAGUAAAAAAGUUUUUCUUUUGCUCUCGAUAAACAAUGAUAGAUUCUUCGCAUCGAUAGUUCCAGAUACACAGUUCUAGUUACUAAGCGUUGUCCUCUUAAAAUGAAACUAAAAACAUACGACUACGCAGACGCUCGCAGCGCAAUCUGACGAAUAGGUUCCUAGUUGGUAAAGUUCCUCGUGCGAAAAAUUUAAUUCAAAAAUUCAAAAAAAUUCAAAAAAUUUGAAAUAUUAAAAAAAUUCAUAAUGAAUAACAUGAAUCCAAGAAUACAAACAAUUAAUUAAUUAAUAGAAGAUAAUCAAUAUAAUAUUUAAUAAAGUGUUUUAAAUGUUAGUUUAUUUGAUAAUGUUAUAAAAAUUCAGAAAUUAAUGCAAAUGUGAUAUAUAUCUUUUUUUCCCUUUUUUUUCCUCCAAUUAUUUGGAAUCUUGAUUGAAUGCAUUUUAUAUUCUAAAUAUAUGUCUCAGAUGAUGAAGGAUCAACAAAGGAAGUUAUACAGAUGAUAAAUUAAUUUCAAAUGAAUAAAUUAUUUUUUUAUUUGCAUUUAUUUAAAUUUUAGAAUCUCAAUCAAGUUAAAAUAAAUAAGUGCCAAAAAUCAAAGAAAUCUAGAAAUAACAACAACGAAUACAACGAAUAACAACACAUUCCCUAAAAAUACAUUAUUGAAAUAAAUUAUGUUAUAAUUUUAAAAAUUAUUACUUUUUAAAAUUAUUUAUCAUCAGUGUAACUUCCAUUAUCAGAAUUAUUUUUGUUAAUCCCAGCAUUUUUAUGGAGAAUAAAAAUUUUUCAAAAACAGGGUAUAUUUACAUACGUAUAUAUAUGUAUGUAUAGUUAAUGAAAUGAAAAGUAAUAUAUUUUGUUGUAAAUGUAUCAUGAAUAUUUGUAUGUGUCUAUAGAGGAAUGAUGUGUAUUAUAUCCGUGAAUGUCGCAUCAAAGUCAAUAUAUUUUAUGAUCGUUGUUAAAUGGAUAUACAUUAAAGUAGAAUGAAAAUUAUAUGCUUAUUUUCUAAUAGUGAAAAAAACUUGUUGGUAAUCUUCCAAAUUUCAUAUAUAUAGUUUAAAAUUAAUUUUUGAAAUAAUUAAGGAUUUUGAAGUUUUAAUUUUUUUUUCAAUUAUUUUAUUAUAUUUUAUCAAUUAUAAUAUUUUUUCUUAGUUUUAGAUUAUAAAUUAAAAAAAUUUUUAUUCACUAUUAGAAAUGAAUAGCAAAAAAAAACUUUAUUUUAUUCUAUCUUAUUAUACUUAUACACAAUACAACAAUAUACAUAUAGUAUAUUGAGAAGUUCAUAUACAUUUCCAUUAACUGGACAUGUCAUAAUGAAUGUGUCUGGCUAUGAUUAUUACAUAUUAAGACAAUAACUUUUCCUGCAAAAAUGAUUGUAUAUGAUAAUAUAAAAAUUUAAUAUAAAAAUAUAUACUUAUCUAAUAUGCAAAUAAAAAUUCCUAAAA